UGAGGUGUCGCCAAGUUGGUUAAGGCACGGGACUUUGACUCCCGCAUCCGCAGGUUCGAAUCCCGCCACCUCAGCCA
rnacentral:tRNA from 1 species